AGUCCUGGGGCACCCUUCUGGGUUCACGUUUCGGGUUUUUCGCCCUAGCACUACACAGCUGAAUCAAAUAACCAACUCAUCAUCAAGCUUUUAUUAUUGGAAUCCUCUAUGUAGUGCUGAGCGCAUGCUGCAGCACCGGAGAGGUUUUAAUUUCUAUACAGGCUAUUAUUGAAAAAGAGGAUAGUCUAAGUUUGGAAGUGCUAAAAUUGUCUAUAAACUGUAAAAAAAAGAAAGUACAACAGAACCAGUUACAACUGAAGUAUCUGAUCAUCAAUGAAUUAGAGAAAAAGCCAUUUGUUUUUUAACAGAGCACCAGAUUACUGCCUCAGAAAUUAUGGCAGCAGAAGAUUUCACCAUCUUCCAGACUGUCGAGAAACACUGUCAUCUACUCCACCGACACCAUGACCAGCUGGCUCUACUGGGUAUGACCAGGAAGGAGGUUCUCCACUGCCUAGACACCACUAGCGAGGUUCUCCAUCCCGCUGAGGGCCUCCUGCUACGGGUCGUCACAAGGAGCCAGUCCCCUAGCCUACCCAGCUGUCAGCGAUGCCCAACUGUCCCUUCUGGAGAAGUAUUACGGCACUCCAUCGAAAUGCCGUGGCUUCCUACUCCAGUGCUCCCUCUAUUUUUCGCCUAUCAGGCAGGAGCCCCCACCAAGAGGUCCAGGUUGCCACUAUCAUUUCCCGCUGACCGGAUGGGCGUUGGAGUGGGCUACGGCCGUCAGAGAGAGGAAAAGCUGGAUUCCUAUGAGAGGUUCAUGGCUCGAUUCAGGGUGGUCUUCGAGGGCAGAGAGGGAGGUGAGUGACUUUUCCAACUUCAGCAGGGUGCCAAGACCGCUGUGGAGUACUCCCUCACCUUUCAGACUGUGACAGCCUCCAGCAGAUUAAAUGAGCCAGUGCACCCCACACUAUUCUGCAGUGGACUAAGAGGUCCAGACAGAGCUGGCAUGUCAGGAUGACUACAAAUCCUUGGACUCUAAUCGCAAUGGCCAGCCCUCUGGAUAACCUUCUUCAGGAGCGCCGGUGUCCAACUUGCCACAGAGCGGCUUCACCAGAGACAGCUGAGGCUUUGUCCCUAUUGCAGCCAGGAGGAGCACCAGCUUCAGUGGUUUCCGGUGCAGCCCAACCAGGGGUCCACUAGAGCAGAGGGGCAGCCCUGUGACCUUGUGUUUCCCAGGGUAGUCAUGAGAAUUCUGUUAUCAUUGUUCUCCGCCAAAACCUUUCUGGUUCCCAUUUCUCUGGCUAGCUGUCCCUCAAGUGUUGUUUCUACAGCUUUAGUGCGCCGGUGCCGUGGGGAACUUUAUCGACCAGGCCCUUGCCACCUUGCCUCCUCCCUGAACUUAACUUCAUACCCGCUCUUCUUUUCCUGUCCAAGUCCUGGAUAUGCAACCAUUGGAAUCCGUCACAGCACCACUCACCCUCACCGUGGGACCCAACCACCAGGAAAUCCUUCCCAUCCUCAUCACUGCACCCAUAAACAAAGUUGGCCUCUCCUGGCUCCAACUUCAUAACCCCACCAUCUCCUGGUCAAAGAUGAGACUUACCAGAGGUCCUGCUUUCCCACACCCGGUGGUUCCACGGCAGUGAGUGUCCUCCAGCCCAUCAAUCAGUCCUUCUGUAUCGUUGGCCUCGUGUUUUGGGGCGGUGAUGUGGAUAUCUGCCAGGCUCGGGAGAGGGAACCCAGAGCGCAUCUACGUCCCCACGGGGGUGAGAGAUCGGCUGUUUCCUGACUCCCUGCGUACAAGUUACAUAAUGCUGUUGACGUGUUGAAAUGCUUCACAAUAUAUUUCUUUAAUGGCAGGCUAUAGCUUUGAAAUAAUAAUAUAGCCUAAGUUAAUUUGUUCCUUCCAAGGAUACCUGGCAUGCUCCUGACUGAUAUACAGUUAGUAUGUUUAAAAGCCUGUUGAAAUGUUGAACAUCAAUUGAUAGUGACAGAAUCACACAUUACUUUUCCCAAGCAGUCACACAUUUCCCAAGCAGUUAAAAAAAAAUAAUAAUGUUUUGUCUCGUCGUCUAUAGAAGGUUGUGGCGCAGACUCUGAAUGUCAUAGACAAACCAAAGAUAUCCCAUAUUUAUCGGAGUUACAUCUGUCCCCGGCAUUUUACGUCAUCUUUAUGGCAGAAAGCAUUGUGGACUAAAGCAUCUUUAUAGAUCACUUUAUUCAGGUAACAUGUUUUAAGUUAAUAAGGGGUAGGUCUAUGCUUUUAGCCAUUUUCUUUAACAAAAGCCACAAUACCCUCACGCACAUGUAGCCAGGUGGUAAAAGCACAUAGCUGUAUUCAUUUAUAUCCACUAGAUGGAACUGUCCCUUUAAGAGAUUCAUAAAUGAGUUGUGCAAGUGGUUAUGUGAUUGCGCAUGCGUAGUGUGAGAGCAAGCAGUUGCACUGGAGAGCUGUUGAAAUUCAUUGUGGGUCCAACGUUACUUUAAAUGGGUAAGUAAUACUUUUUAUCUUUACUCUUGUACCGGAAUAUAUAAUUUUGCAUAACCUGCAAUGUAUAAGAGUUUUUGUAAUUUAUGCCUGAUGGUCAUGUUAUCCUUUGGAUACUUUCAGAUUGAAAUGAGGAUGUUAGCUUCUUGCUAGCUGAAUACCAGUGCUCUCAGAACCACAUUGUGGAGUUGACGAUAACAUUAUUUGAAGGGAGAGUAAUUGUCAGAAUUACAUUUUGUUUUGUGUAAAGCUUCAGUGUGUUCUAUUUUGUUUCAUUUUUUGAAUGGUAACUAAACUGUUAUGACAUUUCUCCCAGUGCUGUAUGGGUGAGAUGAGGAUCUACUAUUCCAUGUGGGGCUAGGGUAUCAUGUUGACAGUGCGUUUUGUAAGUAUUCCUAAUGUUUCAUGGCAAUUUGUUUUGAUGCACAAUGUCAUUUUGUUUAUGGACAUCUUCUACCCAGAUAUUUGAAAUGUUAGAAAGUCCAUUCUAACUGGGAACAU